AAGUUUUUUUUAACCAUACAGUAAACAUUUUCUAAACAUUUAUCUUUUUUUUUUUUUUUUUGGUCAUAUUAUUGACACUUUUUGGUAAAACCACACCCUAUGGGGGUGCCCACAGAGGUGGGAUCUGUGUAGAUCCACCACUGAACCAAUAACAGGCAAAUAUAGCAGGUUUGUGACCCAUUAAUAAAUUAAAUUCAUUUAGCAAUAUGGCACUCAUCGCCCAACUUUCACUGAAAGCAUUCAGCUGCAGAAGUUCAGUGCACUGGCUAAAAGGUAAGAGGCACAGGCUUCUCUUCAUUGUUUUGAUACUGCCUCAUGCUAUAACCACAAGCUCAGUCUUCCUGUGUCAUUUGUUUUCUGUCUGUAUCAGUGCUAUUGAAGAUAACAGGAAAAAAAACAACAACAACAAAAAAAAAACCACUCUUCUUUGAAGAUUGCUGGCAGCGAAAAUAAAUUGCUCAAUAUUAUGAGGAUUAGAAUUAGUAUUUCUGUUGGAUCAAGGACAAAAGUCAAAGAAAAUUGAGAUUUAUGAACCUCACAAUAAGGUACAUGUUGUUUGGAUUGAAGCUGGAGGAGCAAAAUAUUCUUCUGCUAAAAAAAAGAGAAAGUUGGGGGAGGAAAAGCAACUGCUGGCAUUUGUGGUAAGUAAAUGACAGAUAUGAAAGUCUAAUAAUAUGUUCAUAACAAGGUGAAAGAAUUAAACAUGUAUUCACCGACAGAAUCUCCAGGAAUCCUAAUUUGACAAGAUGUGGCUAUAUUUCAGCAAGAACAGCAAGGAAAAAUUGACAUCUCAGAAAUGCACAUUAGCCCUCCAUUUUAUCCUGUUCUCUUUAUCAAAUACAGAUUCAAAAGAAGUGAAUUAUUAUUUAUCGUGAUGUUAAACUGCAAACAAUUCUGCUAAAUAUGCUUAGUACUAAGGGAAAAAAAGCUAGAAAGAAAAGGA
ensembl:lncRNA